GGGCGAGUGACGAAAUCGGCAGACGUUCGAGCUUUAGGAGCUCGUGCUCGAAAGAGCGUGAGGGUUCGAGUCCCUCCUCGCCCA
rnacentral:tRNA from 1 species